CAGUUGGACUCAAUUUAGAUGAUUCCAAUUUUGUUGGCAACAUCCAAAGCAUCAUAGUUAGAAGCCAGUCGAACAUAUGCCCUCUUCUCUCCAUCAGGCCUGAUCAGUGUGUUGAUCUCGGCCAUGACAAUGUCGUACUUUCUUCACGUCCUGUUUGACCUGGUGCUUGUUGGCCUUGAAUCCACAAUGAACACAAGUGUGUUGUUGUCUUCUGUUUUCUUCAUGGCUGACUCAGUCAGGGGGAACUUGAUGAUGGCACAAAGGUCAAGCUUGUUUCUCCUAGGGGCAGUGUUUCAAGGAUAUUUGUGGGGCCUUCAGAGACGCAGUGUCUUGGGCCGUCAGAAGGUAGGUGACGUGUGGAAAUUCUUUUUUGUGUGUGACUGUGGAUGCCUUUCCGCAUCACAUUUUUUUGGGUUUUCAAAGCCUUUGCUUCGGCUGCAGUUUUGGGAAGGGCAAGAGCUUCCUUCUUUGCCUUUGGUGCCAUCUUCAUGAAA
rnacentral:lncRNA from 1 species